GCGGUGGCUCCGUGGCAGAGCGCUUGCCUCGAAUGUGUGAGGCCCUGGGUUCGAAUCUCAGCACCGCA
rnacentral:tRNA from 1 species